UAUCUUUUUCUUAUGCCUUAGUAGCGGCGAGUGAAGCGGCAAAAGCUCAAAUUUGAAAUCUGGCACUUUCAGUGUCCGAGUUGUAAAUUGAAGAAGGUAUCUUUGGGUCUGGCUCUUGUCUAUGUUUCUUGGAACAGAACGUCACAGAGGGUGAGAAUCCCGUGCGAUGAGAUGUCCCAGACCUAUGUAAAGUUCCUUCGAAGAGUCGAGUUGUUUGGGAAUGCAGCUCUAAGUGGGUGGUAAAUUCCAUCUAAAGCUAAAUAUUGGCGAGAGACCGAUAGCGAACAAGUACAGUGAUGGAAAGAUGAAAAGAACUUUGAAAAGAGAGUGAAAAAGUACGUGAAAUUGUUGAAAGGGAAGGGCUUGAGAUCAGACUUGGUAUUUUGUAUGUUACUCUCUCGGGGGUGGCCUCUACAGUUUACCGGGCCAGCAUCAGUUUGAGCGGUAGGAUAAGUGCAAAGAAAUGUGGCACUGCUUCGGUAGUGUGUUAUAGUCUUUGUCGAUACUGCCAGCUUAGACUGAGGACUGCGGCUUCGGCCUAGGAUGUUGGCAUAAUGAUCUUAAGUCGCCCGUCUUGAAACACGGACCAGU
rnacentral:rRNA from 1 species